CUGCUGUUGUGCUCCCACAACAGGCCAGUCUUUCUGUAACAACGCCCAGGGUUUCCUGGGGAUUCCUCCUCUUUACCAGCUAACCCUGCAUAGGUAUAUAUAGGUGUUUUAGUGUGGUGCAUAAUGGCACACACCCCUUACUGUAACCUUGGAGAGAGCUCUGAAGAGAGCUUUGGAAAGAGAACCAUGGGGCCCAUGACUUCAGAGCAGUAUGCGAUUCCUGCUAAUGAGUUUCUACUCAUUGGUAAAACCCUAAUGAAUUUGCACAAAUGAUCUCCAUUUAACGACAGCGCUGACGUCCCCCUUCCUGACUCCGGGGCACCUCUCAGCUGUGGCUAUCGGGUUCACGAUGGCAGAUUCCAAAAAUGACUCAGAGGCAAUAACAACGGCAUCCACCCAAAGAGCGACGGGAAGGAGAUUAAAGAGGUUCAACUCUAGCUCCACGGCCUCUACUCCUAUCGCACUACAUCAAGUCUGUCCGGUGAUGUCAGCCUGGCUGCUGGUGAAUGCUAAGCGCCAUGGACAGCUUCACCUCUGAGACGCCUGUCAGAGGGGACGUUGACAUUCAGAAACACAGUGCGUCUCAUCCUAGGUCUGGUGACCAAAGAAGACUAAAGAAUUUCAUUGCCAGCGACAGCUCUGUAAUUGUCGUGUAUAUGACAAUAAAACCAACUUGAAUCUUGAAUCUUGGUGGUGGUACUGCAAGCCUUAACUCUCCUCUCCCUGGUGGGAUACAAGUCGCACACUGGUUGUCGAUGUAAUGCAUGUAUCCCUGGGGAUCCUUGCUCAUUCUACAAUGAUCCACAGUGUGAAUCCGCCUGUUUGUAUAUGUGUCUCAUUGCUGCAUGUAUUUAGUCUGGUUAUGUAUCUCUGUUAUGUUCCUCUCUUGCAUAGCGACCCGUAGAGACAGGUAUGUUGUCAAAGUUUGUUUGGAAGUGUGUAGUAGAAAUUCCAAUAGACAAUGGGGCUAAAGUAAAGUGGAUGACCGUGCUCAGAC
ensembl:lncRNA